rnacentral:rRNA from 1 species
UACAGAGGGUGCGAGCGUUAAUCGGAAUUACUGGGCGUAAAGCGUGCGUAGACGGUUAUUUAAGUCGGGUGUGAAAGCCCCGGGCUCAACCUGGGAAUUGCAUUCGAGACUGAAUAGCUAGGGUACGGUAGAGGGAAGCGGAAUUUCCGGUGUAGCGGUGAAAUGCGCAGAUAUCAGGAGGAACACCAAUUGCGAAGGCAGCUCGCUGGGACGUUACUGACGCUGAGACGCGAAAGCGUGGGGAGCGAACAGG